rfam:Trichobilharzia regenti genome assembly, scaffold: TRE_scaffold0002042
GUACUGAUGAAGAGUCCCAAAUUAGGACAAAACAGCUGUCCAAUAC